rnacentral:lncRNA from 1 species
ACAAAUCAAGCACCAGUAAGGUUGUACCUAAGCCUAAGGACUGGCCUUGACUGGAUCUAAUUCCUUUUGUGAGCUACCGGAUAUAAUGCACCAUUAUUCGGCCUAUUACGAACAGUUUCAAUGUAUCAUAUCGUCUGAGGAGCAUGAGGUGCAGAUCUUGGUCUUUUGUUCUGCUGGCUCAGUGCAGUAGGUGUUGGUCUACGAUGCGAAAUCGAGGGCCUGGAGUUACCUAUUGCUGAGGGAAAAAUACAAAUGUUUCUCUCGUUCAACUGUUCCUUAGCCAAGAUUGUCGAAUAAGUGUCAAGCUCAAACACAUAUAGUUACUGUUUGAUCUCAUGAUGAAGACUCCACUCAAACCUUUUUAUCUUUC